rnacentral:lncRNA from 1 species
AAAAACAUUUAAUUUUUAAAAAUUGUCUGUGGCAUCAAAUAAUCUUUAUAGUCUCACACCAUUUCCGUAGUAGGAACAAUGCUCAUAUCUAAAAACACAAAAAACAACAAAAUCCUAAUCUCAAAUUCAUCCUUAAAUGACUGAAUCCUACCACACAUCAGAAUUUAUUUUUACUUUUUUUUUUAAGGCCGCACCUGCGGCAAGUACAUGGAAGUUCCCAAACUAGGGGUUGAAUCAGAGCUGCAGCUGAGGCCUAUGCCACAGCUUAUGGCAAUGCCAGAUCCUUAAUUCACUGAUUGAGGCCAGGGAUCAAACUCACAUCCUCACAGAGGCAACGUUGGGUCCUUAAGCUGCUGAGUGACAUCAGGAACUCCCAAAGAAUUUAUUUUUAUUUUUUAUGCAAAGAAUUUUUCCAAAACUUUUCUAAAUCUCAUAAGGUCAAUCCUAAGUCUUAAAACUUUAAAUAUACAACAUCUAUUUUGUUUAUUAACAAUGUACUGAUUUGGCCCUAUGACUGAGAAAAUGUUUUUUUUUAAAAAAGUAAUCUGGAGUUUCCAUCAUGGCUCAGCAGAAACGAAUCCCACUAGUAUUCAUGAGAGUGCGAGUUUGGCCCCUGGCCUCGCUCAGUGGAUUAAGGAUCUGGCGGUACGUGAGCUGUGGUGUAGGUCGCAGAUGCAGCUCAGAUCCUGCAUUGUUGUGGCUGUGGUGCAGGCUGGCAGCUGUAGCUCUGAUUUGACCCUGAGCCUGGGAACCUCCAUAUGCCAUGGCAAUUUAAAAACACAUAAUGCAUUUUUCUCCAUUAUAAAUGAAAUACACAGUAACUUAAUAUCUAUCAAGGGUGGCAAAUGUGUAUUUGGGAAAUAAGUUAAAACUCGAAUCAGGAAAAAAAACCUUUAAGUUUUUUACUUCUGAAACUACCCAAAUAUUUUCCUCUAAAAUGUUUCCUAUUAAACAAUUAUUUGUGCGGCCAUCCAUAAUCCCUUAUAAAAGGGGAAACAACUUACUAAAUGAAUCUUUAUUGGAUUAAUCAGUUUACAAUCAUCUCAUGCUAUGAGAAACACCUUUAAUAUUCCCCUCCUUAUAGCACUAUGCUUCCUGUCCUCCAGUUUUAUGCAUCAAACGCAACAAAUCUUUAGGUUAUUCUUAACUGCUCAAAGGCAAGCACAUGUUCCAGAUGAUACUGCAGAAUAUGCUUAUACCAAGUCAUAAGAUUUACUGCAUAAUAUUCUAAUAGAAGAUAUACACAGUGUUCUGAAAUAAACUACCCAAAAUAUUUUCAACAAUGCUUUAAGUUUUGCAUUUAUAAGUUUAAAACAUCUAAAUGAAUAUUUUAUAACAUCCGCAAAAAAAAAAAAAAAAAAAAAAAAGGAAGGAAGAAAAAAAAGAAAAGAAGAUUCCAUAAUCUCUUUAUCUUGCCACAAGCGUGAAGCUGCUUACCAUUCAUAGCAGUGGGAAACUGAGCCAUCAUGGUCCUGGAUUUUCCUUGCUAGCUCUCAGCCAUCUGUAACAAGAAAAUAUUGUGCCAUUAAUAAUACAACAAGGGCAGACCAUAGCAUAGUAGCGUGCUCACUAAGCAGCAGGAAUGUCUGUCCCCUUCAGCUCACACUUCCAAGAGAAAACGAUGCAGAGCUUCAGCUGCUGCUGAACAGGCAGAAUUUACAUUUGGGGAAGGGUAGAAGAUUUUGUUGGAUAAUGGUGCUUCCUUUAAAAUGAAAUCAUUUAAAAGAAAAACAGUCUCAUAUUUAAUAGCAAAUACUGAAUAAAGAAACCUUUGGCAGGAACCAAUUUUGCAGAAAUUAAUUCAUGAAAGAGGACAGUUGUUAAGCUAGACAAAAAUUUAUUUCAGAGAAAUCAAAUGUAUUAAGUGUACAAUAACAUGAAAAUUCUUAAUACUCUUCUUCAAAAAAAAAAUCCCCAUACAAGAAAAAUAUCCAAAAUAAAUGUAGCAAAGCUAUUUAAUCAAGUUCUACUGAUUUAUAAAAAUCAUCUAAAUGUAACUAUUAAAACAUAUAUGUUUAUUUAAACAUAACUAAAUGUGCUGAGCAAAUAUUCUGCUCAGGAAGAAAAGGGAAUUUGGAAAUUAACAGCUCUGGGUUCAAACCCUUACUGCUGUUUUCUUAGCUGUGACCACAGAAGCAUUAUUUAACCUUACUGAGUCUUAGAUACCUCAUCUAUGAAAAUACUUUGCAGGAGAUGUUUUAAAAAAUAUGAAACAAAAUCUAGUACACUGCCUGACACAUAGUGGAUAUUUGAAAAAUGACUUCCUGGGUGUCCAGAAAGGAAGAAUGCAAUAUAAUUUUGAACCUUGAAUUCAUUAUCUUACUAUAAAUAAAUUCAAAAUUUGUUCCAUGAAUCUUGAGGGUAGGACCAAUUAGGGAGAGUGAAGACCUAGCAAAUUUAUAGUAACCCACUUAAUAAUUAAAGCCAUGGAUUAUAGCAUUGCAGGAAAACACUAUGUUAAAAGUGUUUAAAUGUUAAAAGACCACUCAGUAGCUCAUCUAUUUAUCCAAAUCAUUUGAAUAUUAAUAUUUUUAAAGGCCUGAGGAGAAAUGUUUGCACAAGCCAUCUGAACAAAGAAGACAUAAAGAGUUGCACAUCUAGUGAAAGGUGUCACCAGAGGAGCUGGCUGACUAGCUGCUAAGAAGUGUUACAACGUACUAUAUCAUAGCAAAUGCAGUGUACUCAAGAAGAAAGAUAACCAUACCAGAAUAACCACCAAAGGUAAGUAACACUAACAAAAAACUUCUGUAUUAAUCAAGUUUAUUUUUUAUAACCAGAACAACUUUUCUUCCUAUAAAGCAUACUAUCAUCUACUAAAUUUUGGCCAGAUCAUUGCGUAGUGAGCAAAGCGACUUACUGUGAUUAGAAUACUUAAUGGGGUCAUGCGUCAGCAGUCUCAUACAUCUACCUAUACAACAGAGAUAAGCAAGAACUGGGCAAAACCCCAAUAAUGUUUUGAAUGGCACUGCCAGUUUUACUCUUCUGACU